GACGAAGGAUGCAAGCGUUAUCCGGAUUCAUUGGGUUUAAAGGGAGCGUAGGUGGCCUUAUAAGUCAGUGGUGAAAUCUCUGGGCUUAACCCAGAAAUUGCCAUUGAUACUGUAGGGCUUGAGUAUAGUUGCCGUUGGCGGAAUAUGACAUGUAGUGGUGAAAUACAUAGAGAUGUCAUAGAACACCGAUUGCGAAGGCAGCUGACGAAACUAUAACUGACACUGAGGCUCGAAAGUGUGGGGAGCGAACAGG
rnacentral:rRNA from 1 species